rnacentral:rRNA from 1 species
GAUGAACGCUGACAGAAUGCUUAACACAUGCAAGUCUUUGGCGAAGCUGUGCUUGCACAGCCUAGCCAAGGCGGACGGGUGAGUAACGCGUAAGGAACUUGCCCUGCAGUCAGGGAUAACAGACGGAAACGACUGAUAAGACCUGGUAAAGUCAGGCGGACUCAUGUCCAGCCUGAUGAAAAGAGAUGCUGCAGGAGAGCCUUGCGUCCUAUUAGCUUGUUGGUGGGGUAACGGCCCACCAAGGCGAUGAUAGGUAGCCGGCCUGGGAGGGUGGACGGCCACAAGGGGACUGAGAUACGGCCCUUACUCCUACGGGAGGCAGCAGUGGGGAAUAUUGGACAAUGGGGGCAACCCUGAUCCAGCAAUUCUGUGUGCACGAUGAAGGUUUUCGGAUUGUAAAGUGCUUUCAGCAGGGAAGAAAAAAUGACGGUACCUGCAGAAGAAGCGACGGCUAAAUACGUG